rnacentral:rRNA from 1 species
UACGAAGGGGGCUAGCGUUGCUCGGAAUCACUGGGCGUAAAGCGCACGUAGGCGGAUUGCUAAGUCAGGGGUGAAAUCCUGGAGCUCAACUCCAGAACUGCCUUUGAUACUGGCGAUCUCGAGUCCGGGAGAGGUGAGUGGAACUGCGAGUGUAGAGGUGAAAUUCGUAGAUAUUCGCAAGAACACCAGUGGCGAAGGCGGCUCACUGGCCCGGUACUGACGCUGAGGUGCGAA